UGGUGCUCGCUGAGAUAACAGCGAGGGCUUUGCUUCCUCGGGCUUUGCAGGAACAACAGCGAGCUCCCUGGACGUGGCCGAGUGGGAGAGCCUUCUGCUGAAGUUCCUGCAAACCUCUCUGGAGCUCAUUGCGAGCGAGGCCUGGACCGUGGGCCUGAGCCAGGAGCUGAGCCGGCAGCUGGGCAGCUCUCCCCGCCUGUCCUGGGAGAAGCGGUUCCUGUACAAGGCUCUCGGCACGGCCCUGGCAGCUUGUGGGUGUCUCCACCACGUGCAGGAGCAGACCUUGGAGCACCUGAAAGCAGCCAACUUCCUGGAGCUGUGGCAGGCGCAGGGCAUGGUUUCAGUUGUGUCCCGCUGUGCCGAGAGCCACUUCCAGCUGGCCUUGUCCUUGGUGAAGGAGUUCACGGGGACUUUGAAACGCAAGAAGAGCAAGGCAAGAAGGACCCGCGCUACUCGCGCUGCGCUGCUGGUGAUGUACGGCCGGAUGGCGCUGCGCGCCCCCAGGGAGCAGCUGCUCGCCCG